UUGAAACCUUUUCACAGUUUACUGUGUGAUGCAAACAGACCCCUAUAUGUGAGAUUCAGAACCUUAAGGUUCCAAAUGACAUGUUACCCAUCAGAGGCACAGUUCUUUUACAUCACCUCACUCCUUGGUGCAAAAGGAAUUAAGAUAGGAAAGGAUACCAUGAGAGAAGGAAUGAUAGGCCUUCCUCCAGGAUUAACAAUGUGAAUCAGUCCUCUUUUGUAGAGCUGUCCCAUUUCUCAGGAGGUGGUGCUGAAAUGCACUCAUACAUGAGACAGGGGCUCUGUGGGGGACUGGCAUUGACCACCCCAAGAUAUAUCUCUUUGGCAUGAGGAUUAUUUGGGGAUGGUUACCUUUAAUAAACUGCAGACAGGAAAAGAACUCUGAGAAACAGAGUUUACUUACUCUUUAUUAAGAGACAUUUACAUUGUAAAGGAAAUCUCCAUCUGUAAAGGUGCCUCACUCUUUGUACCAGGAAGAAGGGGGGGAUGACCUUAUCUCUAGAAACUCUUAAUCAAUGCCAAAGGCAAGGACUUAAAUCUGCAUUUGUUUACUGUACUUGUGUGGUAGUCUCCCAUGAUCGACUCGCCCUCCACCCCCAACAUCCUCCUUUGUUGUUAGCUGAAGAUGAUAUUUAAGGUGGGGGCUUCAGCCAUUUUGGCGAGUUGGUCAGCUUGCCUGGCCCUCUCCCAUGUAUACAUGUUAUAAAGCUUUGUUUAUUUUCUCUUGCUAUUCUGUCUUAUGUGAAUUUAUUUCGGUCUUUGGUCAGAAGAACCCACAGUGGGUAGAGGAAAUGUCUUCCUCCCCUAAAGCUCCAAAAGUGAUGAGGAGGCAGACACUAAAAGCACCCAGGUGUCCCAAUCUAUACUCAGACCGGUAGUCAUGUGAAACGUCCUCUGUACAUUGAAGAGAUAAAUUUCUAAAUUCAAUUUGAAAGAAAGCAAGAGUAGAACUGGAAAAUGCCACUGGAAAAGGAGGACGUGAAAAUGGAAGGAUUAUAUUACGUGUCCUUUGGGAAACAGGAAGGACAAUAGCUGCCUGUGUUGUUACAUAACACAUUAAGAACUGAGAUACAUUAGAUUUGAACCUUCCUUAGGUUGUACAAUCCUUCUACAAAUUUAGAAGAAAUUGCAGCUUGCCAAUUCAAUGAUUGUGGCAAUAAAAAUGCCAAAGAAUAAAGAGCAGUCAGUUGGGUUUGAAAUUUUUUAAAAGUUAGGAGAAAAUAUGUAACGUAUUUAAAUGCAUGGGAACACUUGGGUAGUAUGCUCGAGGGCAGAGGGAGAGUGACCCACAGGUCACACUUGACCUUGUAUUGGGUAAGUAUGAGUUGCAUAGUCAUGGGCCCUCAACCUUGGAACAUACGAAAGAAGUCUUAAGUUAAGGUGUUUUUCAGAAAUAU
rnacentral:lncRNA from 1 species